rnacentral:sRNA from 1 species
GCUGGGUGUAGGGGCGCACGCCUGUAAUCCUAGCAGAUCAGGAGGUUGAGGCAGGAGGAUUGCAAGUUCAAAACCAGCCUCAGCAAUUUAUCGAGACCGUAAGCAACUUAUCGAGACCCUGUCUCUG